AGCAAAGCACUUCUGUGGUGGACGGGGCCGAUGGGAGGGCUCUGCCGGGGGCCGCCGAGCAACUUGCCAGCGCGGGCCUUGCACUUCCGGUACCGACGUGGGGUGGGCGGGGCGUCCGGGCGUGACCCGGAUCUGCUGCCGUCCCUCAGGGUUCGCAGAGCUAAAGCAGAUGGGAUCUGAGAACGGUCGUUUUGGUGGAAGGUGUUUUCUUUUGGAAGGACUAUCAUGCAGAAGUGUUUAGAAACCUCAGGCAAUUUUAGGAACUGCACAGUAAGAAGUCAACGACGCAAGAAAGCCUCCAUUUUAACAUUUCAAGGUUAAAAUGGCAGGAAAUGAAGUGUUCGGUCUGCUACUGCUCUGGGUCUGAAAGGGAGAACAUUCUCUAAAACAGAGCUGGAGCUUUGCAGAAUGCAGGUGUGGAGACAGUGGGGAAACUGCUCAUUUUAGGUGACGAGGAACAAAACCCAAAACAGAUGCGGGAUGAGUCACACCUGUGGCCCCUCUGCCUGUUGGAGCAGACGCUGUGUCUCGGCCACAAUGUCACUCAGAUUCUGCGAGCCGCCGGUCAGCCGCCCCCGCGACUCCCCUCCCCCGCCUUCUGCUGCCUGGGUGCGGGGCUGGCAGGAUCCGCGUCCUGUCCUGCUUCGGUGAGGACUGAGAGCCGCCAGCUUGGCCUCAUCGUCCGCGGCGUUAGACGUCGGGGGUAAGUGCGUGUGCCGGAUGGUAUGCGUGCUCGAUCGCAUUUUCUUUUAAAUUUUUUGUUUUUUAUUUUAGAGAGCGUACACGCGAGCAGGGGAGAGGGAGAGAGAGAAUCCCAAGCAGGCUCCACACGCAGCUUGGAGCUUGACUUGGGGCUCGAUCCCAUGACCCUGGGACCAUGACCCGAGCUGAUAUCGGGAGCCCAAUGCUCUGCUGACUGAGCCGCCCUGGCGCCCCUGGUUGCACUUUCUGAAUCCCAAAUGGAGCUCUGCAGUCUGCAGGUGCUUUUUUUUUUCUGCAUUGGAUGGAAUGUUUGCAGUCAGGGCCGUCUGAGAAAGUUCUAGGUAGCCAGCCUACCAGCUGGUACCACCAGUGAGACCGGCUCGUUGACCUUGGUUUCCCUUCCAUCCUUGGUAAGUAGAGAGAACCCUUCAGAAUUCCCCCUUUGUCCCAUGUUAAAAAAAAAAUUUAAUGUUUAUUUAUUUUUGAGAGACAGACAGCACGAGUGGGGGAGGGGCAGAGAGAGAGGGAGACCCAGAAUCGGAAGCAGGCUCCAGACUCCGAGCUGUCAGCACAGAGCCCGAUGCAGGGCUCGAACCCACGAACCACGAGAUCAUGGCCUGAGUCGAAGUAGAUGCUUAACCGACUGAGCCACCCAGGUGUGUCCCACGUUUAACACAGUCGCCUCCUCUGUGCUCUGCUCAGGUCCAAGUGUUGGUGACAGAGCGGGGAGGGGAGCGGCACCGUUUCCGUGGAAAGUGACGUGUGUGUCUCCUGCGUGUGCGCUGAGACGGUAGGCAAAGCUCUCGGAGCUGAGAACCAGGCACACGGCGCCCCCAGCUCUCGCGCUGGGACUCCGCACGGCCUGUCGGAGACGCGGCAGGAAACGUGUUCGGGGGUCUCCAUUCUCCCGAGCACAUCUGGGAAGGUGCGCUCCGGGGCCACGAUCGCCAGCUUGUGGCCCUGGGACAGGCCUGCCUGCCAGGGGUGCUGACACCAGCCAGGGAGGCCUUGCUGUCCCCAGGGCCUGGCGCAGUCGCCUUACCAAGAGGGGAAAGAAAGCCCCCGGGGCCGUCCGGAUGUGGCUCCGUAAGUGGUGGUAAAUUUGCUGCCUUAUUGUUACCGUCUUGAGCCAUUGUUCUAAGUCACCCACUUUUGGACUAAUUCUGGGUUGAUAACGGACGGAUUAACCAUAAAUCCUGAACAGCGAUGCCCCCCUCCUCCCAAAAAUGUGCUGUUGGUGGGUCAAAAAUUUUGAGAACAAGUGGGGUCAGACCCAUGGGGAGAGAAGACGGGGGUGAGCUCGUCCCCCCGAUGCAGGCCGGGAAGCGAGGGGCAGACGGUGGGAAGGUGGGCGUUCCCGGCCCCUGUCCCUGUCCCCAGCUCUGGGCAUCGGCAGGGUGAGCCGCCUGCCCUACGGUCCGACCGUCCACAGGCCUGCGGUGUCCGGCUCGUGUGACGUGAGUCCCCGUGUGGGUGACGAUGUGGUGGAAAUGUGUCCCCUGGUGGGUGCGUGGGGGCGUCGGCGGCCGCGGGAGGCGCUAAGAGGUCGGAUCCCGAGUGUCGAGUGUCGCUGAGGCUUUAGCCCAGGCGAUUGCUGUCCGCCCACGGCAGGGCCCUGGCUCUGAGCUGGGCGGCGUUCGCAACGUGAGCUCCUCUGUUGUCUCUGUUGGGCUCUUUGCCGCAAGUGACAGAAACCCAACGUGUAGGGGCUUCUGCCGGGAAGCACGAGCGAUGGCUGACAUGUGGCGUGCCUCUGGGUGACAGGGACAAGUGUCACCCCCUGCCUCCCGUCCGCCCUUUCCGCAAAGGUCUCACUCUCUUGCAAGUAAGACGUCUCCCCACAGCGGGAACGUGGUGUCCCCGCACGUGCCCAGCUCUGGUCGCCAUGCUUCCCAGGGAGGGUUCCGUGUGCCUGCGCCCGGGGCGGGAGCUCUGAUGAGGGGGACGGGCUCCCCCAGGGCAGCUGGGCUGCGAGGGGCCGAGCACCUCCAAGGAGGGGGCGGCCCUGGUGCCCGGCCACCCCCAAGCCGAGCUGUCCGCCCGAGUCCCCACGUGCUCACGAGGCCCCGGGGGUCUGAACCCGGAGCAGCGCGUGGAAUAUUCAGCCACAGCGGAACUUCUGGAUGGACGGGCACAGAGGGGAGGGAAUAGUGGCCUCCGGUCCGUGCGGGGAGAGGAGGGUGGUCUGGCGUCUGUGUAGACAGCUCACUAUGGUCUCUCCAGGGAGGGCGGCUCCUGUAGGUUCCAGAAAGACCCAGAUCAGGAUUACGUGCGGACUCUGGCGGCCGUGGCUCCUGACCACACCUGGUGGCUGUGGGGCUCUGCCACGGCUCUUGGAAUCCGCGGGGCCCUCGGGAGCCGCCUCGACCUGCAGCCCCGCUUUGUGUCCGGGCCCUCGGCUGCCGUAGCGCAGCACCACGGGCUGAGGCUGACGUCCGAGGCCAGGGGCUGCCUGCUCGCCAUGUCUUCACACGAUGGAGCGGGGAGAAGGCUCUGGAACUGCCUUUCUACAAGGACACUGAUCCCAUCCCGGGCCCCACCCUCACGGCCUCCCCUGACCCCGGUCACCCCCAAAGGCCCUUCCUCCCAAAGCUGUUCCCCCGGGCCCCAGGGCGUCACCAUGUGAGGUGUAGGGGAAACACCAGCCCACGGCGCACCCACAGCAGACGCUGAAAAGCUUCCCCUUGGAAACUCGGGAUUUAAGGUCUUUCUGUUGGUGAGAACACGGUCUUGCCUCCGCCUCCAGCCUGCCCGCCAGGCAUCCCCCCGGCGCGAACGACCUUCCCCGAGCCAGAGAGCGCCCACCUGGCCGCGGGGAGGACGGCUCAUGCUCUUAAUUAGAAACCCAGCAGGCCCUUUGCCUUGACAAGCAGCUUGUCCACGCGCACUCGGUCCAGCAGCCCUCAAUCCUGACUGCACUGGGGCGAAAAUCAGCCUGUGCACGUGCACACGGCUGCACCCAGCCCUGGACAAAGAUGCUGGAAACUUCCCAGCUCUCUGUCCUCCCCGUCUGGCUGGGCCCCGAGGAGGGAAGGGCGGCCCGCGGGAGGACAGAGGAGGAGCUGGUUUUCUGCCCUAGGAAGUUACUUUUCACCGCAUCCUCUUGAAGACUGCGUGUGGGGCCAGGGCGCCGGAGGUGAGCUAGGCAGAGGUGGGGCUGGGCCUGUGCCGGCAGCGACCGCGCCCAGGGCGUCCGUCUUCUUCUGGAGUGAAGGGAGCUUAGCUUCUCUGAGCAAAGAAGCCUCCGCCAAGACCCCUCUCUUCUCCUUCCUGUCGUUAUUGUGUCUUUUUCCUGUUAAAAGUGCUUGUGUUUACCUUACACAAACUGUUCUCCAAAAUCAGCUGUUCUGAAACCUACAUAGAAUCUAGACCGAGCGAUACAGUGACCCCGGAAAGGACAAAUCGAGGAGAUCGAUGUGAUUUGUGUCCUCGCCCGUGUGUUUCCCGGCUGCUCCCUGGUCACUUAAUGCUGGUGGCUCCCCGGGGACGCUGGCUGCGCUGACAGUAUUGAUCGCCCUGGCAGGAUGAGGGGCGGGGGUCCCCGAGGACGCAGGGCCACCCCGGCACAGCCAGGUACAGAGGCACGCCCUCCGCGGGCCUUUGCUGCUUCCCGGGGCCACACGUCUUGGCAUCGGUGCUGGUGGCGCUGAGAUGCCCAGGGUCCCCCCGUGCCCACAGCCCCAAGUCCCAGGAGGGAUGUGCCUCCUGCACUCCCACACACACUUCCUGGGGGACGGGAGAAGGGAGCCCUGCCUGGACCAUCGGGGACCCUUCUAUGAGGCCGUGGGUCCCAGUUCUGCUACUGCAUAGCUGUGUGGCCUGGGGAAGGUCACUCAGAUUCUCUGUGCCUCAGAUUUCUUCCCUGGAGAGGGAGCGGGGCUGCGCGGACUGCCCGCUGAAGCACGCAGGACGUGGAAAGCAUGACCGCUUGUUUUGUGGUAUUGAAAACACCUGCUUUCAUCUGAGCGCGCGCGUCACUGAGCGGGUGUGCUGAGUUCCUGGCUGAUCAGGAAAACUUCACGUGCGGGAAGCCCAGCAGGGAGCCCUGUUGGCAGUCGGGUCCUCGUGGCCGUGAUGAGGCAGGGAUCUCCACGAGAGCAUCCCGGGUGGGGGCGGGCCCUAAACCCAGGACUGGCGACCCCGUAUGACGAGGAGAGAGCCCGGAGGGAGGCCGUGGGCAUAGCCCCCGGAAGCUGGAAGAGGAAAGGGCUGGGGGCUCCCCCGGAGUCUCCGGGAGAAACCGACCUGCAGACCCCACGCCGUGGCCGCGGGGACAGGCUUCUGUCCUUCUCAGGCACCCAGUCUGGUGGUUCCCGGGAAGUCGGCAGAGGCUGGUUCCCCAUUUUCCCUCGAGGCUGGAGUGUCAGCCGGAUCACCGGCAGGUAGGGGCGGGAGCUCGGGCCGCGUCUCCCGGGCAGUGGUGGGGAGGUGGUGGGGGACCAGGCUGGAAGCAGGUGGCCGAGGCGGGACCCCGCACCCGCGGCAGGGUUAGGGGCAGCUCCAGCAGGAAUGCUCUGAGGCUGAGCCUGCGUGCCCCCUGCCGUUUCCAGGUGUCUUGGGGUCCCGUGGAUGGUGCCCUCAUCUCCGGCCCUUGGACCAGACCCCUCUCCUUGCUGCUCUGCCCUGGGGCUUCUCUCUGGUCGUAGACCUGGUCCUGCCCUUUCUGAAGGGGCCUUAGUCGAAGGCCCCUGAUGGUGCGGCAGAGUCCCCAGUCCGGUGUGGGCUGUCAGUCCUCCGCGGGGCUGCCCCUGACCCCCGCCCCCAGGUGCUCCUGUGUCGCUGCCUCAGCGGGGUCGGCAGUCUCCCCGGGUGCGUCCCUAGCGGGGAGUCCUGUCCUGCGCCCGGUGCUUCCCGGGAUGGCAGUUUGAGCGUCUGCAGUCCCGUCUAUAGGACGGACAGACCUCAGGGAGAAGAGCCCAGGGAGGGCUUCUUGGGAUGACGGUGCCCAGUCCUGCAGAACAUUCCCCUCCUGGGCAAGGUGACAUCCAAGUGGCCCUGUGACCCACAUACCCGGGAAAGAGUCCACUUCCUAGAGGGGUUGGCACAGGGGGAGCUGACGUGUAUCUGUGCCUCCUUCCUGCUGGGAACUUAGGUGCAGGCGCGAUCCUGUUCUAGCGUCGCCACCAAGCGGCUCCAUGUCUGUCAUGUGACACGCUGGCCUGAGGUUCAGAAGGUCACCCGGCCGCCGGGAAGCUGGGCAGUUGACCCUGCCGCGGCCGCGUCUUGGCCUGGGUGGGCUUUGGGGAUGUCGGCCUGCCUGUUGCCAGCCUGGCUCGUGCAGGGUCAGCGUGGGCCCUUAGCGGGGGACAGACCCUCCUUCCGCAGGACGGCCGUGGACGUGGAGGAGCCAUGCUCGCCACCCACGAUCCCCCAGGGGGAGGAAGACCCUCUUUCCUGGGCUGGUCAGGACCCGGAAGGGGAGGGGCAGCCCCCCACCCCCACCCCCAUCCGGGCCCGUGGCCGUGAGCUUGUGGGUCACCUGGCAACUUGCCCCUGCACCAACGACCAGGCCGGGGCCUGGCUCUGCCCUGUGCCACCCACUCUGGUGACAGGCCACCUUUGUUGCCCAAGGUGCCUCCGUGCUCCGCCUACCCCCGCCCCCUGCCUGCGUAACCCCCUCCUGCUGUCCCCGUGACCGUGCCUGUCCCUUCCCGUCCAGCGCCGCCCAGGACAGUCUGAUGGGAGCCAUACGGAAAGUUAGAAGUGAGUGUGAUCUUGACUCGAAUGAUGUCAUCUUUCGUCCGUGGUCUCCAACCUGCUUUCGUUUGCACGUGACCUGCAUGAAGCCUGUUAACCAGAGGGUCUCUGUUUAACCGAGUGUUUGCUAAAGUCUUCAGGUGCUCGGCGGUGGCCCACGGUGACGGCUGGCUCAGCCCAGACCCUGAGGCCGUAGUCCCCAGGCCCGGCCGGAGCUGAGCGGGGCCAGCGGGCUUGGGCCGCUCUUGGCGCCAUCUGUGGGUACUUCCGUGUCACCUGGGGGCGACAGCCUCUGCCGCCGGGGUUGCCGUGGCGGUGCGGUGUGGUCAGUAGCCCGGCGCUCCGCGGGGUGCCCGCCCCUCCCGGGCUGCUGGGCCACGGCUGCUGGCGGAAUGCAGGGCCCUCUCCUCCGGGGGGUGGCUAGAGAACGGGGGUGCGGCCCGUCCACACUGGCAGGGCCUGGUCCUCAAGGGCCUCCCUGGGCGGCGUCUGGGAGGGGCGCCCUCCCCGGCUGGCCUCCCAGGGGGCGAGCUGGGCGCAGUCCGGGCCGCUGAGGGAGGGCCGGCGGGGCUCCGCACAGAGGUGGGUGUGAGUGAGCCAUGUGCACCUGUGUGGGCGGGUGUGCACCUGUGACCGUCACGGAACGUGAGCUUGUGUCGAGUGUCGCGCACCCCCUGCCCGGCCUGGGGAGGCGCCAGGACCCUGCUGCCCGGCAGGCUUCCCCGGGCCUUCACCAUUCCCUGGGCACCUCCCCCUGCCCCGGGAGGACCAGCUUGUCUGUGCGUCCUGAGUGCGAACCCGACCUGGAGGGACCUGCUUGCCUUCUGCAGCGCGGAGUCCUCGCUCCAGCCAGCUGUGGUGGGAGCCGCCCUAGAACCACUGGUUCGGAAAAAGACCGCAGAUACGCUCAUUGCGUGGAAAACUUAAGUUCAGAGACCUGGAAGAGAAAACACGAAUGGCCUUGUGUCCACUCUACCCCUAACUACCACUGCCAUCUGGUGGUUUCCGUCUUUUAACAUGUACGUCAUUUAUACAAACAUCUCUUAGUUUGUGUUUUGCCGGGUCAUUAAAACUUUAACGAUAUGAUCUUCGUAUUGUGUAAACCUGUCUUGGGUACGUGUUAUAACCCUAUAUAAUUGAUGAGACGGUCCCCUGUUUUUUAGUAUCUUCUUCCUAUAAGUAACCUAAUCAUUGACUCCCUGCCUGUUCCUUCUCUAGAAAUUCUGCGGCUCCCUCCCUGCUCUCAGGGCUUCAUUGACGGCUUCCCACUGGGGUUACCUGCCACCAACCACGCCUCGCUGCUUGCUGAGCGGGUUCUCCGGGGGUGCGAUCUCUCCCAGACCACGUCCCUGUGUUCCUGCGUCCCAGAGCCUGGAGCCCUGAUCCAGAGGGGUGGACAGUGAGCACAGAGCCUGGAUCAAAGGUUGAGGAAGGGGAGGCGUGCUGGGAGGAGGGGGGAGGGGUGGGAAGGUCCCCUUCUCCGGGCGCCCACAGCGUAGGCCUGUGGAAAGAGUGGGGCUUGGGUCGCCAUAACGGAUACGACAGACUUUGACAACAGAGACUCAUGACUCACCCUCCUGCGGGCUGGGAGCGAGAAGUCUGAGGUCAAGGAGCCGAUGGGCUGGUAUCUCCUGGGGACUCUCUCCUUGGCUGUGUCUUCGCGUGGCCUUUCCUCUGCAUGUAUCCCUGGUGCCCCUUCUUGUAAGGACACCAGUCCUGGUGCACAGGGCUCACCCUUGUGAGCUCAUUUAACCCCAGUUACUUUCUUAAGGAGCAUCUUCGAACACAGCCCCGUUGGGGAUUAGGAGUUUAACCUGUGGAUUUGGGGGCACAUAAUUCAGUCUGAUGCUGAGUGAACAGCUUGCCCGUGUGGGAAGCAGGAGGUGCAAAGGCCCCGUGGCAGGACACGCAGGCCUCCCUUGGCUAUGAGCCAGGGUGGCUGGAGCACAGGGGAGAGGCGGUGUGGGGGUAGUCAGGACCGGCCUCACUGAGCUUCGGACCCUGGUUCAGGGAUGUGGGGCAGCCUCGUUUGGCGGUCAGAACCUGUGGAGGGCUGGGGGCGGAGGGAGGCAUAGUCUGUCUGCCUCGUGGGGACAAAAGCGUGGGGAGAGUGGAGAACGGAAGGCUGAUGGUGUUGUGACAAGCCCCUGCAAUCCCCUAAGAAGAACGGAAGCUGAGGCUCAGAGAAUCCCAGUCGUUUAACCGAGGCCACACGGUUCUCGGUGUGCAGACCCCACACCCUCCGUCCCUUUGUUGUCAGACUGCAGAGUGUGACAUUCCUUUUGAAGCCGUCUUGGGGGCAUGUGCCUCAUGGCUGGUGCUGUUCUAGAACACGGCUCAGCGGUCUGCAGCCCGUGGGCCACACGUGGGCCGUAGCCUGUUCCUAAGUGUCCCGCAAGCUUCAAAUGGCUUUUAUGGCCUUGAGUUGUGACAACAGGACAAACCAAGCAGAAUUUCCGCCAGGCCUGGCGCGUGGCCGCGAAGCCUGGUGCGUUUGCUCUCCGGCCCUUCCUGGAAACGCGGGCCCGUGACUCUUCUGGAACGUUGGCGAGCGGAGCCUGGCGUCACCCUCGCGGUGGGCACCACGGAAGGCUGUGUGCGGGGAGGUGACCCGACAGGAUGUCGUGGAAGUGGCCCCGUGAAGACCUGGAAGGACUUAGCAGGGUGACCCGCCCCCAGGGUGUAGCGGGGGUCUCGUGGAGUCCUUUCGGUGACAGGCGCUCCUGCCUCUGGGCUGCUGUCCCGCACGUGCUAGUUAAUGGCUCGCUGAGUUUGCGUCAUCAGGUCGGUCCCCUCUGUGACCCUUUGACUCGAAGAGUACUCGUGUACGGCACGCAGAAGACGAGCCGAGAUGCCACGUUUGAGAAAACCUGGGAGUCUGGUGGCUGUUCCCUUCUCCGUCCGGGAGGAGAGAGGGGAGGAGGGCAGG